GGGGCCGUGGGGGCUCCCUUAACAUGCAAGUCGAACGGCAGCGCGGGGCAACCUGGCGGCGAGUGGCGAACGGGUGAGUAAUAUAUCGGAACGUGCCCUGGAGUGGGGGAUAACGCAGCGAAAGUUGCGCUAAUACCGCAUACGAUCUAAGGAUGAAAGCGGGGGAUUCGCAAGAACCUCGUGCUCCUGGAGCGGCCGAUAUCUGAUUAGCUAGUUGGUGGGGUAAAGGCCUACCAAGGCAUCGAUCAGUAGCUGGUCUGAGAGGACGACCAGCCACACUGGAACUGAGACACGGUCCAGACUCCUACGGGAGGCAGCAGUGGGGAAUUUUGGACAAUGGGCGAAAGCCUGAUCCAGCAAUGCCGCGUGAGUGAAGAAGGCCUUCGGGUUGUAAAGCUCUUUUGUCAGGGAAGAAACGGUGAAGGCUAAUAUCCUUUGCUAAUGACGGUACCUGAAGAAUAAGCACCGGCUAACUACGUGCCAGCAGCCGCGGUAAUACGUAGGGUGCAAGCGUUAAUCGGAAUUACUGGGCGUAAAGCGUGCGCAGGCGGUUUUGUAAGUCUGUCGUGAAAUCCCCGGGCUCAACCUGGGAAUUGCGAUGGAGACUGCAAGGCUAGAAUCUGGCAGAGGGGGGUAGAAUUCCACGUGUAGCAGUGAAAUGCGUAGAGAUGUGGAGGAACACCGAUGGCGAAGGCAGCCCCCUGGGUCAAGAUUGACGCUCAUGCACGAAAGCGUGGGGAGCAAACAGGAUUAGAUACCCUGGUAGUCCACGCCCUAAACGAUGUCUACUAGUUGUCGGGUUUUAAUUAACUUGGUAACGCAGCUAACGCGUGAAGUAGACCGCCUGGGGAGUACGGUCGCAAGAUUAAAACUCAAAGGAAUUGACGGGGACCCGCACAAGCGGUGGAUGAUGUGGAUUAAUUCGAUGCAACGCGAAAAACCUUACCUACCCUUGACAUGUACGGAAGCCACGAGAGAAUCGAGCGUGCUCGAAAGAGAGCCCGUAACAAAAGGUGCUGCAUGGCUGUCGUCAGCUCGUGUCGUGAGAUGUGGGUUAAAGUUCCCGCAACGAAGCGCAACCCUUGUCAUAGUUGCUACCGAAAGAGCACUCUAAUGAGACUGCCGGUGGACAAACCGGAGAAGGUGGGAUGACGUCAAGUUCUCUCAAGGCCCUUAUGCUAGGCCCUUUCCACACGUCAUACAAUGUACAUACCAGAGCCGCUAACUCUGAAAGGGGAGACCUAUAUCUCCCUGAAAG
rnacentral:rRNA from 1 species